ensembl:lncRNA
GUUGGACAGGCUUCUUGCAGAGGUAGAUGGUUAACUGCUGAGAGAGUUCUGGACUGAGGAUCUGUUCCAGCAAACUGCAGCAGCAGAUGAAGCUGCUUUAGAGCCUUUUGCUGUACUGAAUGAUGUCUUGACUUGUGAGGAGCGUUGGGGCAGUGGAUAGAGCUCUCAAUCUGAUUGUGAAUUGGGACAAAUGAUUUGUAGCUUAAAGGUGGUGAGUUUAGGGGUCACAAGAUUGUGUUUGGGUCAAGUCAGAGGUGGAAGAGACUGGACAUCAAGUUUGUUGUUGGAUCUUGAAAGGAAAGGAUCAUGGUGGUUUUGCUGAGUGUGGGCUUGGUGAUUUGAGUUGGGCUGUGUGAGAGGGUCUGAAGAGCAACAUUUAUUGUUUGUCUUCCAAGCCUACAAGAUGAGAGUGGGGGUGAUUGUGGUCAGCCUGCUAGCAAAUGAUGAAGAGCCGACAGGUUUGUCCUGAGAGAGGUUGUUAUUAGCAGUAACAUGGGGAGCGUUAACACCCUCAAGGAGAUGUACAGGGUCAGAAAUAAAAAUAUUACCUGCUGUCUAGAAGGCGGCAGCAACUACAGGCAGUUUGGAAAGUUGUUCCAGUUCCUCUGAACAGUAGAAGCAGUGCAAAGUGACCAGCGAUGGAGACUGACGAGUGGAGAGGAGUAUGGAAGAAGCGAAAAUUUAAGCAAAAACUUCUGAAGUCAACAAAAGGAACUGUAUAUUUUUAUUGUAAUGCUAUCUUCUAUGCUCUUUAUCUUCCCCAGCAAUAGAGAAAGCUUGAAGAACUGAUUAAAUGACUCUCAGGAUAACUUUUUGAUCAGGUAAUAUAAAUUGCCAUGGAAGCUGGAGAAGUACAGCUCACAAUAAGGGAGCUAAGAUUCCUCCAGCCCACACAGAGAUUUAAAAUCAAAUCUUGAAGCAUGGAUAAAAAUAUAUACAGAAGGAAUGAAAAACAAUGAGUGCUAAUGCGUCCUACAAUAUUUCCCACAUUAUUUCUCUUCUUGUUGAUCACGGCUGUGAUCUUUUCUUCAUAAUUUUGAAGUCAAACUCUAAGAAAAAUAUGACAACUAUUUUUUUUUUUUGCUUGUUUGUUUGUUUUGAGCCCAUCAGGCUUUUAAGCUGAAGGUUUUACUGCGGAGCACUAUGAUACGUUUACAAUGGCAGCUUCUCAGUCAACGUGUACCUGUGUGCAUUUACAGAAAAACAUGUGCCUCACAAAGUAGAAAAUACAUUUUAAAUUACUUUUUGACGCAUUUUGGCUUGCUUGCAAUUCAUCCUUGCAUUUUCCCUAUUGAAUUAUUUAUUAAUCUCUGGCUGUUUUAUUGAAGGGGUUAUACAGGCAUCACUGAAGACAUUCGAUGAAGAAACUGAACAAAGCUGUCCUGGAGAGACAAGGCUCCACAAAUCAAUUAGCUCUUUCUUUCCAGCAGUGAUAGACAGGGAAAGCCUGUCUUGAGCUUGCAUACUUGGUAAUGGUGCCAGCUGUUGCUUAUAAGCGGUGUGAUGGUGAUUGCUGAUUGCCUUGUGGUGCUGCCUGAGGAAUUACAUGAGUGGCAGGGAGGGAAGAAGAUGUGGCACCUCUCCUGGAGAGUGGUAGCUCAUGUUUAUUAACCAGUCCCUGCUGGUAUGUUUUUUAUUUAGAUUUAAUAUUAAACAAAACACCUGUGCAAAAGCCCAAGAUCCUCUUCAGAAGUAAUUAGAUUUGCAAUUGCUGCCCAGCAGCACAAGGAUGAAUGUACCAAUAAAUGAACUCUGCUAGCCUACGCCAGUGAGAACAGCAAUUUAGCCCAGCAGAUGAAAAUAGAAUUGCAAUGAAGCCUCUCAUUUCCAAGGCCAUCCAAGAAGAGGCAUUCAGCCUUUCCCAGAUGCCUUUGCCAAAGGUUGGUGUUGUUCCUAGUAAGGGAUCUGCACUGGAUUAUUUCAGGUAAGUGGAGGAUGCCCCAUGUUUCUGGGGCUCUCCUGGUGAGCAUCCUGCAGGCUGGCCCUGCUCUUCUUGUUCCAGAGAUGUCUGCUGAGCACAGCUGUGGCUGGGGAGGGAAAUGGCCUGCUGGGUUGUUUAUCUCCUGAAAACACUCUGAGUGCCAGCAUUCAGAGACAGAAAGGGUCGUGUAUUGUGCACUGCGUUCCCUUUGCCUGGUGAGUUUUCUGCUCUGUGAUGUGAUGUAGUUGUCUUCAUUGCUGAGGCUAAGAAACAGAGUGAUCUCCUUUAUAUUUCCGGCACAGUUGUACUUCUGACAGCCAAAGGACUGGAAGGGUGACAGGCAUGUCAAGCUCUACAGCAAUUUCUAAAGUUCUGGGUUUGAACUACGCUAGCUGAAGUUUAGAUGCAGCCCCUUAUCCAACAAACAUAUGUUGGAAGGCUGUCGUGCAUUUACUGUCACUAUCUAUCAAUAAAUGUAAAAGGAUGCUGCUUUCUAGGCCUUGGAAUUCCUUGUGUUUUACAAAUGAUACUUUCUCUAAGAAAUGGCAGGGGUGAUGUAUAUGCGUGUGUGUGAGAUUUUUGCAGACUCCAUAUGCAGAGAAGUAUCUGAAUUCAUAGAAGUGUGAAUACUUCGUGUUUUAUGAAGGCUA